rnacentral:rRNA from 1 species
UAGGGAAUCUUCGGCAAUGGACGAAAGUCUGACCGAGCAACGCCGCGUGAGUGAAGAAGGUUAUCGGAUCGUAAAACUCUGUUGUUAGAGAAGAACAAGGACGUUAGUAACUGAACGUCCCCUGACGGUAUCUAACCAGAAAGCCACGGCUAACUACGUGCCAGCAGCCGCGGUAAUACGUAGGUGGCAAGCGUUGUCCGGAUUUAUUGGGCGUAAAGCGAGCGCAGGCGGUUUCUUAAGUCUGAUGUGAAAGCCCCCGGCUCAACCGGGGAGGGUCAUUGGAAACUGGGAGACUUGAGUGCAGAAGAGGAGAGUGGAAUUCCAUGUGUAGCGGUGAAAUGCGUAGAUAUAUGGAGGAACACCAGUGGCGAAGGCGGCUCUCUGGUCUGUAACUGACGCUGAGGCUCGAAAGCGUGGGGAGCAAACAGG